GCCAACGUAGCUCAGUCGGUAGAGCAGCUGAUUCGUAAUCAGCAGGUCCGGGGUUCGAGUCCCCGCGUUGGCUCCA
rnacentral:tRNA from 1 species